rnacentral:rRNA from 1 species
GACGAACCCGUCCAAACGUUGUUCGGAAUCACUGGGCUUAAAGGGCGCGUAGGCGGCUUGCCAAGUCAGGGGUGAAAUCUUUCGGCUCAACCGGAAAAGUGCCUUUGAUACUGGCAGGCUUGAGGGAGGUAGGGGCCUGUGGAACUUCUGGUGGAGCGGUGAAAUGCGUUGAUAUCAGAAGGAACGCCGGUGGCGAAAGCGACAGGCUGGCCCUCUUCUGACGCUGAGGCGCGAAAGCUAGGGGAGCGAACGGGAUUAGAUACCCUUGUAGU